GAUGAAGGCUGCAGCAGAAAAGGGUCCCCGGUCAUCUUGGACUCCAUGCCACUGGAUCCUGACCUAGAUCUGUCGAGAACCGUGUGGUGGCUGCUGGAUUUACACAGAGGUAGUGAC